rnacentral:rRNA from 1 species
UAGGGAAUCUUCCGCAAUGGGCGAACGCCUGACGCAGCAACGCCGCGUGAGUGAUGAAGGUCUUCGGAUCGUAAAACUCUGUUAUUAGGGAAGAACAAAUGUGUAAGUAACUAUGCACGUCUUGACGGUACCUAAUCAGAAAGCCACGGCUAACUACGUGCCAGCAGCCGCGGUAAUACGUAGGUGGCAAGCGUUAUCCGGAAUUAUUGGGCGUAAAGCGCGCGUAGGCGGUUUUUUAAGUCUGAUGUGAAAGCCCACGGCUCAACCGUGGAGGGUCAUUGGAAACUGGAAGACUUGAGUGCAGAAGAGGAAAGUGGAAUUCCAUGUGUAGCAGUGAAAUGCGCAGAGAUAUGGAGGAACACCAGUGGCGAAGGCGACUUUCUGGUCUGUAACUGACGCUGAUGUGCGAAAGCGUGGGGAGCAAACAGG